GAAAAUCUAAGCACAUUCAUCUCAACCACAAGGAGGAAAAACUACUCACAAUCAAACAAUAUUGUAUGAACAACAUCCAAUUUCAAUUAGGUGAAGCACCAUUUGUAGGCAGACUCGUCUGGAGCAUGCAAACAAAUUUCAACUCGCAACAAAUAUUUUUGUUUAAGAGCCAGCAAAAAUGUUGCGUGGAAGUCAAGAAUCUGGGAUUUGCAACCAUGAAGCACAGAUCCUUGGCCUGAAGGAAAGACUUGGACUUGAAAGAGUUGAAAUCCAUACCAGAAGGAAAGUAAGCCUUCACCACCGCAAAGCUAUACCAGUCUCUCGCAUAGAAAAUGCUCUGAGAGAUCUGGGCUUGCAGUUGGAGCCCCACUCCUAUACAAUAUAUGAGUAAAAGCUAAAGCCACAGACUCUGGAACGGCUAUCUGAUGUUGAAUACAGAGGAUAGUUGAUAUUGAUGUCUACUUCUUGUCCAGUGAACUGUUCUUAUAUAGAUUAGAGAUUCCAAAAGACUUCAAAUAGUAUUUAUAGUAAAUAUCUUGGUAGCAUUAGGUGCAGUUGUUAAAGUGUUCUUCAAAAACUCUAAUAUAGUUAAAAAAUAUCUUUUCUUCAGUACACCUUUUUUAGCCAAUAUAUUUUAUGAUAUAUUAGUUAUUAUUUUGUUCUCAAUGGAAAAGUCUAUUGUCAAACGAUUAAA